GAGAGCGCGCAGCAGCCCACAGCAGCCGAGUUCGCGCCGCCGGUAGGUGCUGCCAUGCCAGGGGGCGGGAUCGUGGAGCGCCUCGCAGAACCGCACGAAAGCAAAAACAAAGCCAUCUCUCCGGAGCAGAAAUAGAACAGACGUGGCCGGGGAAAGCCAAAUAUUUGUGAGAUGAUGUGAACAAAGGGGGAAAAGUCAAUCCAGGGAAGUUUGAGUUUCUGGUUGGAGGCUUCAGCGGCUCUGAUCGCUGGAUACUUUAAGAGAACAUCCUUUGCCCCCGCUCUCCCUCUCUCCCCGAAGAAAAAUAAAUCCUUGGCAAAAUGAGACUUGACGGCAUGAAAAGAAGGUCUCCAGACUGUCCCAGCUAAAAAAGCCAUAAAGCCUCUCUCCAAUCGCUUUCUCGGAGGGAGUUUUUGCAACCCCCACAACACAGGUUGAUUGGAAAGGUCUCUCUCCCGGAUAACAACAAUUCAAUGUGCCUUGACAUUUUAAUAGCCUGCCGUCCUGGUGAACACAAUCGAGCAAGGCAGUGAAGCAAACAUCAUUAGGUGGCUGGACUCAGACACAUCACGCUCCAGUUUGGGUUCCAAGGUGCUUCUCUCUGGAUUUUCACCUGCCUUGCCAAAAAUGAUUGAUUACGCUGGGCCAACUGGGUGUCCGGCAAUACCCAACAAAUGACUUUGGCCCCUAACAGCAGGUCUUGGCCAGACAGAAAUCAAUAUUUCACCAUUAAAAUCUAUCAAAGAAGAGUUAAGGCACCAUCUGUCCCUGCCGCCUCUCUAUGGUGUGUGAACAUUAAAUCCGACACUUGUACUACAUGGGUAAUCAAUAUAUAGUGGUUCACAGAUCAUUUGUGGUUCCCUUUUAGCAGUGAUGGAUGUCUGGAAUCGUUGUGAUUCAUUUUGUCAGACCAUUAAACAAGAUUCUGUCCAGUU
rnacentral:lncRNA from 1 species